CUGCAAAGACCUCACGUCACGGAAACUUGCGGCGUCGGCCCCCGAUGCGCGCGUCAGGUGCUCCGUCCCUUCCAGGUGGCAGAGAGGGAAGGGUCCCGCCAGGUGGGGGCCUGAGAGCCACCGGGCUGCGGUGCGCGAGUGUGGACACCGCCCCCGCCUUCUGCGUCUACAGCCCCGGGUUCCGGGACCUUUGGAAACCGCUUCGGAAGAAGCUGAGCAUCUCUUUCCCCACGCUGACCUCCCCCAUAGACUCCGGAUGGGGGUAAAUGAGGCUCCUGGGAAAUCCAGAAACUUCACUCUAGAGAAGCUUGUUUGCCAAACCUUGCUUUGGGCGGUGGAGACAGAAUAUCAUGUCCCGGAUCAGCGUGUGGUGACUGUGGAGGCAUUUACACACAGCGCACUCCAGCUCUGCCACUGGGCCGGCUGAGGUGGCUGCGGUACACGGCGCCCAUCCUGAGCCCCAGGUUCCUCACAUGUCAACAGCAUGAAAAGUGCCUCUAAGACAUCCACAGGUGUGCAGUGUUAAAGCAGGUGAGUGUCCUAGUGUAGACUUAGCGGAGUGGGGCUAGGGCUGCGGGUAGUGGGUGUUCCGCCCCCGGCUUGCUACCCAGUCCUCCCUGUCCCUCAGACCUGGCCCCAACCCUCAGGCAGACCCGUGUCUUCUCUUCCACCCCCUCCCUCCUCCUCCCUGGCACUCAGCCUUGCUCUUCUACUCUACCCUCCCUCCCCAGGCAGCGCCUCAGCUUGGUCAGCUCCCUUAAGGACUGCGGCUCCCUUAGGACAAGGCUCUGUCCCUCAGAGCACUGAGUGCGAUCUCAUGCUGGCAUCUUAGAGACAUUGUAUUCACCAGGUGAGAUGGAUUCACAUCUGCUGGGCGCACGAACACUUCCUCCUUCCUUGCCACCAGCCAGCAUCACAACCAGCCUAGCCAGGCUCCCGUCCCAGCCCAGCCUAGCAGCUAACCCCAGCUCCAUCCCCCAGCAAGCCCCUCUGCCUGCGCCUCAGCUUCUUCAUGGAAGACGAGUCAGGUCAUGAUGCCACCAGGGAGCGUGUUUCCAUGUUGAACUGAGACACUAAGCCCUUGACAAAUGUUGGCCAAGAAAAAAAGGGGCUCCAAGAGGGGAGCUGUGGCUCAGGUAGAAGACGGUGAAUGAGCAUUGCCUGAAUCAGAGUUAGCUACUCUGGUUAUGCAGGUGUCCCCGGCGGGUUGGUCAAAAGCCCUUCCCUGAGUCCUGUGACAAGUGUGGGGAGGGAGGCAAAUCAAAGACCCCUACACACCUCCUGCAUGGAUGGCCAGAGCGCUGGUCCCACCUCCUUCCUUCCAAACUGCAACCCCGAUCAGCACAGCAGAGAAGUCUCCUGUGGCAGGGACCAGUAAUUCAGUGCUUCCCCUGGAGAGUCUGGGAUUGCACAGAACACCAGAGGCUGGGGAUUUAUUUGUUCACCAACAUUCAUUCAACAAACACUUACUGAGGCCAACACUGGGAAUGGAGACGAACUUCUCUGUCCUCAUGGAGCUUGCUUUCAAAAGGGAAGGAGGCAGACAGUAAACAAAACAAGCAAGUCAGUAUACAGCAUGAUGCAGAAAAGGUGUGAUGCCACCCUCUUGCCUGAGUUUAUAACAAGCAGAUGAUGUUGUCCUAAGAAUUAAUUUCAGCCGGUGAAAGAGUACAGGCAAAAAACGUGGUCUCGGACUUUCCGGUGAUGCUUAAGAACAUAGUUGCAGUUUUUGUUCUGAUUCUUUGUGCAUCUCGCGCUAAUGAAGGAUUCUGCCAUGAUUGCCACCUCUGGAGACGUCACAGCCAGCACAGCCAUGACCAGGGAUGAACUUGGCCAUUGUCCAGCAGCACCAUGGGAGGACCAGCUGCUGUAAGUGAAGGUCAUCAUCCAUUUGAUUUGCUGGCUUUUUGCCACUACUGCGGUGGAAGUCUUAGAGUAGCCACCUUCUCUGUACUCAGACCUUCACUUCGCCAGAUGUCAGCACAGCAGUGUCAGCAGCUUCGUCAAACACAAACACCACCACCUCUCUGGAUCAGAAGCACAUGGAAAGCCCACCUUGCAAGAAGACCCAGCUAUUCCAAAAGCACCCAUAUCCCUGUAGCAUCCUCUUAGCUGAAUGUCUCUACUCCUUAAACUUGUACCCC
rnacentral:lncRNA from 1 species